rnacentral:rRNA from 1 species
CACUCCUGCAGGAGGCAGCAGUGGGGAAUUUUGGACAAUGGGCGAAAGCCUGAUCCAGCAAUGCCGCGUGAGUGAAGAAGGCCUUCGGGUUGUAAAGCUCUUUUGUCAGGGGAGAAACGGUGAAAGCUAAUAUCUUUUGCUAAUGACGGUACCUGAAGAAUAAGCACCGGCUAACUACGUGCCAGCAGCCGCGGUAAUACGUAGGGUGCAAGCGUUAAUCGGAAUUACUGGGCGUAAAGCGUGCGCAGGCGGUUUUGUAAGUCUGAUGUGAAAUCCCCGGGCUCAACCUGGGAAUUGCAUUGGAGACUGCAAGGCUAGAAUCUGGCAGAGGGGGGUAGAAUUCCACGUGUAGCAGUGAAAUGCGUAGAUAUGUGGAGGAACACCGAUGGCGAAGGCAGCCCCCUGGGUCAAGAUUGACGCUCAUGCACGAAAGCGUGGGGAGCAAACAGGAUUAGAAACCCCAGUAGUCCCA